rnacentral:pre_miRNA from 9 species
UCUCGAUAGCGUAAAAGUUAACUCAAAUUUGAAUACAGCUGGAACAUUUGCGUAUGUUUGCCGCUAGGGGCGCUGUUCCAACUGCAUACAAGUUAGAGUUAACUUUUACGCUAUCGA